UACGAAGGGGGCUAGCGUUGCUCGGAAUCACUGGGCGUAAAGGGUGCGUAGGCGGGUCUUUAAGUCAGGGGUGAAAUCCUGGAGCUCAACUCCAGAACUGCCCUUGAUACUGGCGGUCUCGAGUCCGGGAGAGGUGAGUGGAACUGCGAGUGUAGAGGUGAAAUUCGUAGAUAUUCGCAAGAACACCAGUGGCGAAGGCGGCUCACUGGCCCGAUACUGACGCUGAGGUGCGAAAGCGUGGGGAGCAAACAGG
rnacentral:rRNA from 1 species